AUUGAACGCUGGCGGCAGGCUUAACACAUGCAAGUCGAGCGGAGAUGAGGUGCUUGCACCUUAUCUUAGCGGCGGACGGGUGAGUAAUGCUUAGGAAUCUGCCUAUUAGUGGGGGACAACAUUCCGAAAGGAAUGCUAAUACCGCAUACGUCCUACGGGAGAAAGCAGGGGAUCUUCGGACCUUGCGCUAAUAGAUGAGCCUAAGUCGGAUUAGCUAGUUGGUGGGGUAAAGGCCUAACAAGGCGACGAUCUGUAGCGGGUCUGAGAGGAUGACCCGCCAACCUGGGAGUGGGAAACGGCCCAGACUCCUACGGGAGGCAGCAGUGGGGAAUAUUGGACAAUGGGGGGAACACUGAUCCAGCCAUGCCGCGUGUGUGAAGAAGGCCUUAUGGUUGUAAAGCACUUUAAGCGAGGAGGAGGCUACUGAGACUAAUACUCUUGGAUAGUGGACGUUACUCGCAGAAUAAGCACCGGCUAACUCUGUGCCAGCAGCCGCAGUAA
rnacentral:rRNA from 1 species